UACGGAGGGUGCAAGCGUUAUCCGGAUUCACUGGGUUUAAAGGGCGCGUAGGUGGGCUGGUAAGUCAGUGGUGAAAUCCCCGAGCUUAACUUGGGAACUGCCAUUGAUACUAUCAGUCUUGAAUACUGUGGAGGUUAGCGGAAUAUGUCAUGUAGCGGUGAAAUGCUUAGAUAUGACAUAGAACACCAAUUGCGAAGGCAGCUGGCUACACAAUUAUUGACACUGAGGCUCGAAAGCGUGGGGAUCAAACAGG
rnacentral:rRNA from 1 species